GACGAACGCUGGCGGCGUGCUUAACACAUGCAAGUCGAACGGAAAGGCCCUGCUUUUGUGGGGUGCUCGAGUGGCGAACGGGUGAGUAACACGUGAGUAACCUGCCCUUGACUUUGGGAUAACUUCAGGAAACUGGGGCUAAUACCGGAUAGGAGCUCCUGCUGCAUGGUGGGGGUUGGAAAGUUUCGGCGGUUGGGGAUGGACUCGCGGCUUAUCAGCUUGUUGGUGGGGUAGUGGCUUACCAAGGCUUUGACGGGUAGCCGGCCUGAGAGGGUGACCGGCCGCGGUGGCGGAGGGGGGCGGCGCCGCGGCGGGGGGGAGGGGGCAGGGGGGAGUAGGGUGAGGUGGGGGGGAGACUGCAGCAGCGGGGGGGGGGGGGGGGGGAGGGCGUGGGGGUGGGAAGCCGGGUUCGCGUGUGGGGAGGGGGGAGGGAGGGGAGGGGGUGAAGCAGAACCGGUUAACUAGGUGCCGGAGGCGGGGUUAAUAAGCGGAACAGAAACCGUCUGAAC
rnacentral:rRNA from 1 species